rnacentral:lncRNA from 1 species
GUGGGGAUGUCGAGGAUACAAAGAUGAAGGAAGAAGAAUGGCUGUCUUUCUUUCUAUUCAGAAAAGAUCCCAGAUAAUAUACCCUGUGUCAUCAUGGCUUCCAAACAGUAAUCCCUUCUUCAGAAAUUCAUCAGCUUCACAGAAAAUUUUGUUGAACAGCCUAAAAACAGAAGAUCAAGGCAAAACAAUCUGCUGUGUAUUGCAACCUAAGAAGUGAGCUGACCUUCCAUUUAGAGGGGCCUGCAACAGCAAUCUGCCUCCUUCAAAGGGUCUGUGGAUCCUCUUGGCUUUCCCGGUAUGUUCCUGUGGUAGUUCUUGGAGCAAAAGUUCACGAUGUGAGUCUCCACACACUGCUCUGUCCACUGGAGUGGGAGCUGCAAGUUAGUCCUGCCUCCAAUCUGCCAUUUUCCCCCACCUGAUCCAUCAUUCUAUUCUCUUUGUCUGCAAAGCCUGGGCUGGAGAUCUAGGCGGGAUCUGGCACAUCAUCACCACCUUUCCUGGUUUACUUAAAUGAAUUCUCAAGAUUAACUCUGAAGCCAUGGUAAAACAAAUAGAGAUCAUGUAUUGUUCUCCAAAGAUUCUCCAUCAUAUACUUGUAGAGCUGGUCUACACCAUGAUCUUGUCAUAGGGAAUAACAAAAUAGUAAGAGUGGGAUGUUAGAAUGAGAUCAACAAAUAACUUUACCUUUGAACAGAUGUUAAAUUGCAGUGUGUGGGGCUCAAUUUACUAUUAUCAAAUAUCUUCCCUAUAAAAAUACACAUUUAUCUGACUGGAAAGACAUUCAGAGUUUUAGGCAGACAAACAAAUGUAUGUGAACAUCUAACCUGCUUUAAAAUUCUGAACAUUUCUAUUAAACGCUGGGUCAAAAUUCUGGUUCUUGUUGAGUUGUCUUUUUUCUUCUUUGCAGCUCUCUCACUGGGCUUGACUAAAUGAAGAAGUUAGGUUUGUUGUCUGCAAUAAUCUAAGGCUUUUAGAAAACUCAACUUGGGAUGUCC